rnacentral:miRNA from 1 species
CCAGGCUCCCCGCCACA